rnacentral:rRNA from 1 species
AGCGAACGCUGGCGGCAGGCCUAACACAUGCAAGUCGAACGGACCUUUCGGGGUUGGUGGCGGACGGGUGAGUAACACGUGGGAACGUGCCUUUAGGUUCGGAAUAAGCUCGGGAAACUGGGUCUAAUACCGAAUGUGCCCUUCGGGGAAAGAUUUAUCGCCUUUAGAGCGGCCCGCGUCUGAUUAGCUAGUUGGUGGUGUAAUGGACCACCAAGGCGACGAUCAGUAGCUGGUCUGAGAGGAUGACCAGCCACAUUGGGACUGAGACACGGCCCAAACUCCUACGGGAGGCAGCAGUGGGGAAUCUUGCGCAAUGGGCGAAAGCCUGACGCAGCCAUGCCGCGUGUAUGAUGAAGGUCUUAGGAUUGUAAAAUACUUUCACCGGUGAAGAUAAUGACUGUAGCCGGAGAAGAAGCCCCGGCUAACUUCGUG